rnacentral:rRNA from 1 species
UCGAGGAUCUUCGGCAAUGGGGGCAACCCUGACCGAGCGAUGCCGCGUGCGCGAUGAAGGCCUUCGGGUUGUAAAGCGCGAAAGUGGGGAGAAACGCCGAAAGGCUUGAUCUAUCCACAGUAAGCUCGGGCUAAGUUCGUGCCAGCAGCCGCGGUAAGACGAACCGAGCGAACGUUGUUCGGAAUCACUGGGCUUAAAGGGCGCGUAGGCGGGCUGUCAAGUUUGGGGUGAAAUCCCGCGGCUCAACCGUGGAACUGCCUCAAAUACUGACGGUCUCGAGGGAGAUAGGGGCGAGCGGAACUAAUGGUGGAGCGGUGAAAUGCGUUGAUAUCAUUAGGAACUCCGGUGGCGAAGGCGGCUCGCUGGAUCUCUUCUGACGCUGAGGCGCGAAAGCUAGGGGAGCAAACGGGAUUAGAUACCCCGGUAGUCCUAGCCCUAAACGUUGGGUACUAGGUAGUAGACUAGACAUGGGUUUACUGCCGAAGCAAAAGUGCUAAGUACCCCGCCUGGGGAGUAUGGUCGCAAGGCUGAAACUCAAAGGAAUUGACGG